GCAAACUCUAACGUCUCUUUCAUCUCUAGAGUAGAUUCAGAACAUCCACUGGAGGGUAAGCAUCUUCUCUAGUUUCCUGUCACCAGAUACUUAGGUGGCACAGAAGUCUGCAAGGCCAUUCUUGUGUCCUUGAGCCCCUCUGGCCCAACACUGCCUGAAGCCCAUCUUCCAGGCCCUGAACAAUUAAAGGCCGUAAGCUCAGAGUUGGUUUUGAUCAGUUUCUACUCAUGCAGGUUCAGGCAAGCGAAGGCAUGCCUGAGGCAGCAGUCGCUGUGGCUGCUCCCCGAUCUCAUCGAUCUCGCCGCCAGACCCUCAUCUGCUAUCGUCCCGAAGCCUGAGACUAGGCCUCCUAUCUCGGAAGCUCCUCUGGCUCCUUCACACCACCAUCUGCUUACUAAUCUCCACAGACAGCUUGACUUCUCAUCUGCUUAAGCAACUAGUUUUUUCUCUUCUCUUUACACUUAGUUCCUAAACUCCCACCCUUGUAAAAAGCAAUUUUAUGUUUAAAAUGUCUUAUCUCACUAUAUUAUAAUAUAUUAAAUUAAUAAAAUCGGAUUUUAAAAUA
ensembl:processed_transcript Gm20627 predicted gene 20627